GAACCGCUAACUGAGGACUCCAUAAAAAUUAGCAACAUCUGCUAUUUCAAGAGAUAAGUGUUGAUCAGUUGGUCACGGUCAAUUUUAUCAAGCCUGGCUGGCCUUUUGGUGAGACACCUCAUAGGCCAUAUACAAGAUUUAAAGAGUACAUCAUUAGAUAUACUAGUGAUGCUAGUUUUGGAAAAAAUCAUGAGUAUGCUGCAUAAUUUCAAUACACGAUGUUUCGUGUGUAUCAAGAUCUUCAGAGAGAUCUUUUUCAACCUCUGCUUUUUAACUCCUGCAAAGAUGAUCAAGACCAUCUUCACCCACCAUC
rnacentral:lncRNA from 1 species